UCCCUGGCGGUCCAGUGGUUGGGACUCUGCACUUUCACUGCCGAGGACCCAGGUUCAAUCCUUGUUCAGGGAA
rfam:TPA: Bos taurus chromosome 10, whole genome shotgun sequence.